UUCCCCCUACUGAAGCCUUCCGCAGCGACUUGAUAAAUAACUGCCCAGCCUGCUCUGCAGACCACACCACGAAAAUGCUAGGACUUGAUUAACUUCAAGGACCAGCAGCCUAGAGUCUAGGUCCACAGAUCAUGUAGUGGUGGUCAUCCGAUGAUUGAGAUAUGACCGGUCUUAACCAGAAUUGGUUAAGAAUCAACGUUCCGUAGGUGAACCUGCGGAAGGAUCAUUAUUGAAAAGGGAACCCUUCGGGGUUCAACCUUCAACCCCAUGUCUUCAUUACCUGUUUCUUUGGCGGGCUUGCCCGUCAGAAGUUUUCUCAAACCCAUUAUAAACGUGUCAUCUGAAUAACAAACAAAAUAAAUUAGAACUUUCAACAACGGAUCUCUUGGUUCUG
rnacentral:misc_RNA from 1 species